rnacentral:rRNA from 1 species
AACGAACGCUGGCUGCAUGCCUAACACAUGCAAGUCGAACGAGACCUUCGGGUCUAGUGGCGCACGGGUGCGUAACGCGUGGGAACCUGCCCUUAGGUUCGGAAUAACUCCCCGAAAGGGGUGCUAAUACCGGAUAAUGUCCUCGGACCAAAGAUUUAUCGCCUUUGGAUGGGCCCGCGUUGGAUUAGCUAGUUGGUAGGGUAAAAGCCUACCAAGGCGACGAUCCAUAGCUGGUCUGAGAGGAUGAUCAGCCACACUGGGACUGAGACACAGCCCAGACUCCUACGGGAGGCAGCAGUGGGGAAUAUUGGACAAUGGGCGAAAGCGUGAUCCAGCAAUGCCGCGUGAGUGAUGAAGGCCUGAGGGUUGUAAAGCUCUUUUACCCGGGAUGAUAAUGACAGUACCGGGAGAAUAAGCACCGGCUAACUCCGUG